rnacentral:tRNA from 1 species
UCUAUUUUGGCAGACUAAUUGUGUCAAAUUUAGAAUUUGAAUAUGAUGUAAUCAAAUAGAA